UAUUGCAGCUGAUGCCCUAUUUGGGCUUCCCAGAAAAAUAGUCUGGGACCAGCAUUGAGGGUCCCAAACAUGCUCGGUGGUUCUUUUGUGACCAAGACAAAGUUGACUGCUUUGUAGGAAGUGCAUUAGACACACCAACUGAGGUACACUGGAUUUUGAAGAAUGGGAUGCAUCUCACAAUCAGUUUAGUUUCCCUAGCCCUCUUCUGUGUGACUUGUGUUUGUGUGUAUAACCAACAGCUGGGCUAAUGUUGAAAAAGUUAAAAGGUUUGAUUGAAAUCAGGAGAAGCCAUUUAUCCUUGGUGAUGAGGCUCUAGCAUUGGAAUAUUCUGUCCAUACAAAUAUUUUUUAAAUUGAACACACUAGAUGAAACAUGAACUGCUUGGUGAAUGUGACUUUUUCCACUCAUGCUUAUUCACUUCAUUUUACAGGAGUGGGCGAGGAAGCGCUGUGAUCCAAAACCCAGAAACUGGACAUAACUGGUGUGUUUAGGAUGGCGUGCAGGCACGAGCAUCCGCUGAAGUUCCUGAACCUGAAGAGAGGAGAGAAUCAUUUCCUGUUUGCAACUGCUGUGUUCCUGCUGGGGGACCUGAAAGCAAUGCAGGGACCAGACAUCACAACGUCUCUUCACUAUGACAUUGCAUGCCAGCUGAAGCCUCAUUUACAGGUAAAAUUGAUCAAAUCAAUCUAUGUUAGCUAUUAUAAUGCAUUUAAUAUUUAACCACUAUGCUAUAGUGAGUUUCCUGAGUCGCUUGAUACCAUUAUCAAUGGCUUGAAACAGAUUGCUCCAUACCAACUUUGUAACCAUAAGUCAUAUUUUACACACAAAAUAACUGCUCCUUCACUCAUAUAUAUAUAUAUAUAUAUUUUAAGUCUCGAUCUGAGGGUGGACACAUUUACAGUGCCAGCCUUUCAUGCCUAAGCUCAUGAUGCUGACAGUCAGGUAAUGAAUACAUUUUUUUCUUUAUCAUUUAUUCUGUUAAACACCAAUUCUUUGUAGUUGCAGACAGUUGCCCUAACAGUAUUAAGAAACAGCUAGUUGUAAUUUGUCCUAGUCCCUUAAUCAUCACCCAUUGUAAUGCUUAUUCUGGUUUCUGAUUGUACUUUACAUUUCAGGUCACUGAUGGUACCAGGUAUGUGACUGUG
rnacentral:lncRNA from 1 species